ACUUUGGGAAACUUACAAAGGAAUUCUAAAGAGUGUUGUAUUACAUCUGGCCAUCCUGUGAAGCUGCUGGUCAGCAGAUGACAUUAAGAUAACCUUCCUAAAACAUGAGAGCAUAAAAAAAGAUGAUGAUCAGGAAAUGUAAUCAGUCUCUACAUCUCUACAAUCCACUGGGUUUGUGAAGCAGAGAGAGAGACAGAGAGAGACAGAGACAGAGAGAGACUAACCCAGAGUGAUAAUACCUUUCACUUCUCAUCAAAUGCUCAGCAAAGCAGCCACAAGACUAUCAUUUGAG
rnacentral:lncRNA from 1 species